AGAUUGAACGCUGGCGGCAUGCCUUACACAUGCAAGCCGAACGGCAGCACGGGGGCAACCCUGGUGGCGAGUGGCGAACGGGUGAGUAACAUAUCGGAACGUGCCCUGGAGUGGGGGAUAACUAGUCGAAAGAUUAGCUAAUACCGCAUACGAUCUACGGAUGAAAGUGGGGAUCGCAAGACCUCAUGCUCGUGGAGCGGCCGAUAUCUGAUUAGCUAGUGGUGGGUAAAGGCUACCAAGGCAUCGAUCAGUAGCUGGUCUGAGAGGACGACCAGCCACACUGGGACUGAGACCACGGCCCAGACUCCUACGGAGGCAAGCAGUGGGAAUUUGGACAAGUGGGGCAACCCUGAUCCAGCAAUGCCGCGUGAGUGGAGAAGGCCGUUGGUUGUAAGCUUCUUUGUACGUAGGUAAGAAACGG
rnacentral:rRNA from 1 species